rnacentral:rRNA from 1 species
AUACGGAGGGUGCAAACGUUAUUCGGAAUCACUGGGCGUAAAGGACGCGUAGGCGGGUUGGCAAGUCAGAUGUGAAAUCCUACAGCUUAACUGUAGAACUGCAUUUGAAACUGCUAACCUAGAGUAUGGGAGGGGGAGAUGGAAUUAGUGGUGUAGGGGUAAAAUCCGUAGAUAUCACUAGGAAUACCGAAAGCGAAGGCGAUCUGCUGGGACAUCACUGACGCUGAGGCGUGAAAGCGUGGGGAGCAAACAGGAUUAGAAACCCUAGUAGUCC